rfam:Chaetomium globosum CBS 148.51 scaffold_1 genomic scaffold, whole genome shotgun sequence.
GCCGGAAUAGCUCAGUGGUAGAGCGUGUCACUCGUAUGUUUGUCUACAUGACAAUAUUCAACGACAUGACAAGGUCCACGGUUCGAUCCCGUGUUUCGGCA